rnacentral:rRNA from 1 species
CCCCUAGAUGUUCUGGGCCGCACGCGCGCUACACUGAACAGUUCAACAAGUCUUAACCUUGGCCGAUAGGUCUGGGUAAUCUUUGAACGCUGUUCGUGAUUGGGAUAGACCUUUGCAAUUAUGGGUCUUCAACGAGGAAUUCCUAGUAAACGCAAGUCAUCAGCUUGCAUUGAUUACGUCCCUGCCCUUUGUACACACCGCCCGUCGCACCUACCGAUUGAAUGGUUCGGUGAAAUCUCGGGACGGCGGCUUGGUCGCUUGCGUCCGACUGCUGAAACUUGAUUAAACCAUAUCAUUUAGAGGAAGGUGAAGUCGUANCA